CAAAAAAGGCAGCUCUCCCCAGACUGGCAAGAUCCUUUAUGAAAAUCCCAGACAAGUCACCGUGCUCACCUGGCAUUUUCAUUCCUGCCCAGGGAGUGUAAGGCCGGCUGGCUGCAAAGCAGCUGCUGAACUUAUAUUUAUGGUACAGAUCAGACAAGAACGUGCCGGCGCCGAAAGCCCUUCUUGGAUAAAGAUGGUUCCGUUAAGGUUUCAACCUGGUGUCUAUUUUUUUUUUUUCCCCAUUCCUUGAGGGGAUAGUUUUGGAAGCCUCUAGAUUUGCAAAGCCAUUCUGCUGCUGCUCUCCUUAGGACACAGUUCUGGGCUGCUUCAGUGGGAAGCCCAGUUCCGUGGGUCCAAGUCCAGAUUCCACCGGAGCAAACAGCUGGAUAUCGAACCAGAGGAGGCUGGAUCAAUGAUUAACAGCACAUCUGUGCCUUGGAACCUCACAGGGCCCUUGGAGAAGAGGACACAGCUGAAUAAUAUUCCACUGUGUGGCUAAGACCUAUUUUGGGGACCCACGCAGAGCUCCUGGACAUCCGGGCUGGUUCCACUUGGGUUGCCGUGACCAGCGCCGCUACAGACAGUCAGCCCCCAGGGAGGACCCACGGGGUCUCGGCCAGGAACUGAGCAGCCCUCCCCCCAGGUGUGCAUCCUGGUGGCCCUGCUGAUGGAGUCCUGCAGGGGUACAAUCCCAGGUCUUGCAGGGAGCGAGGAAAGCCUCCAGGACUCUGAGGACCCAACGACAGCUUCACCCAUCCAUGGCCGGAAUGGGGCGGUGGUGAGCCACUCCCUGCUUUGGCCUUGACUUCCUCCCCUGGGCAAUGUCUACACCAGGCUGCUAGGUGCAAACAACAGAACUGACUGCAUCUGUUCGCAGAAGCUGCUCCAUGAGGGUUCUAGCCUGCUGUAACCACACACCACGGGCUGCCUGGUUUAAAACAGUGAAAAUGCGUCAUCUCCCAGCUCUACAGGCUGAAGUCCAAAGUCAAGGUGUCAGCAGGGCUGGUUCCUUCUGAGGCCGGGGAGGGGAGAGUGUCUGUUCCAGGCCUCUCUCCUGGCGGCUCCUGGAGAUCUUUGGAGCAACAUGGCCUGAGAAGCAUCACUCUCACUUCUGACUCCAGCCUCACACAGCCCUCUCCCCGUGCCUCUGUUCUGUGCCUCUUGUCUUCCUCUAAGCUCACCGGCCACACAAGACUAAGGGCCUCCCUCACUCCCAUAUGUCCCCAUCUUAGCUGAUCACACCACCGUGUCCCUAUUUCCACAUAAAGUCACGCACACAGGCCCCAGGGCUUAGGAUGCAAGCAGAUCUUUUGGGGGAGGGGGAAACACAAAUCCACCACACAGAUCUGAGACCAGGAUUUCAGGGCAGGGGGGUCUAUUUGCAAGGGGACCCCAGGGAGCUCCCGAGGGGCCCUGGGGACAUGAGACGGGGAAGGGAGGGGUCGUCCGGGGACCACUCAAGCACAGAUGACUGCCAUGGGCACCCAGAACUCAAACCCAAGGGGACCCUCUGAGAAAGCAUCCAAUCACUUUUCAGAGGCUUCCCACCUGGGGAUGAGGAAGUGGGGCCACGGGCUUUCAGCUCCACCUGCCCCACCAUAUGGACCCCAACAUUUGGCAUAUCCUGCGCACCAGCCAAGCGGGCUCCAUGGGCAGAGCUUCCAGGAUGAGGUGAGGACUUCAGGACUCAGGGAAGGAUGAGAGCACAGGGGUGGUAUAUGCACAGCCCCGGGCCACCUGCCUCUCCCACUCCUGCCAACUUAGCAGAAAACCAAAGAGGCACUAGAAAACUCUGGUGCCAACAGAAGUAACCAGAGAGAGGAGGCCCAGCCUGGAGAGACCAGGGAACAUGCCUGGCACAGGCUGCCACCUGCCACAGUGCCUCUGUGCCCAGAAGAUGCAGCCCUGGGCAGGCUAACUGCAAAGGGGCAGCCCAUUCCACGGUAAGCCUUACAAGAUGCACCCCUGGCUCCUGGCUGCUGCAGCUGGUAGUGCCCCCUCCGCUGGGCAAGCAUCUUGGGGCAGGGUGCAAACCGCAGAGCCAUUUCCACCUGCCCUGGAUGGGAGCUUAAGGGACAAAACAGACCCAAAGCCACAGUCACACCUACAGGGGCCAUCAGGCUACAUGGUCCCCAGGCUGACAGGGCAGCCACAAUGCAUGCUACUGGGGAGACGUGUUCAGAAGAUCAUGAGAUAUAACGCAUGGCGAAUGCUUGCCCUGACACACAGGACACACUCAAUAAAGAAUGGGUCUUAUAACCUUCA